rnacentral:rRNA from 1 species
AUCAAAUAUUAAUUAAUGGUAUGUUGUUUACAGUUAAUUUUAUUUCUAUGUAAUUUUUAUUAUUUUUUUUUCAGGAAAGAAUUUUAUAAAUUUUAAUAAAAAAAAAGUAAAAUUAGGUUUCAUAUGCUAAAAAUUGUGCCAGCAGUAGCGGUUAUACAAUUUAUGAGGUAAAUAUUUGGCAUUAAAAAAUAGUAAUAUUUUAUAAUAUUGAAUUAAUUAUUUUGAAGGUGAAAUUUUUAAUAAUUAAUAAAUAAUAAAAACGAUUUUUUUAAAAUUAAAAACAACUAGGAUUAGAUACCCUAUUAGUUACAUUUAAAAUUUAGUAGUAAGUGUUGAACAUGAAACUAAAAUUAAUUGGCGGCUUUUUAAAUAUUUUAGAGGAAUUUAUUCUAUAAAGGAUUUAACACCAAAAUCUUACUUUUAUUUGUAUUAAAACAGUUUACAUACCUCUAUUUUAAAAUAUUUAAAUAUAUUUUAUUAAUACUAUUAUUUUAGUAAUUUUUUAGGUAAAGGUGUAGCUUAUAUAAAAGAAUGAAAUAAAUUAUAAUAAUUUUUAUUAUUUUAACGAGAUUUAAAUGUAAAUAAUAAUUUAGUAAAAUUUAAAAGUAAAAUUAGUAUAUUUAGCUAAUUUGAAUUAGAUUUUAUAAGUGUACAUAUUGCCCGUCACUCUCUUUUUAGAGAUAAGUCGUAACAAAGUAAAAUUACUGGAAA